rnacentral:rRNA from 1 species
AGCAGUAGCCGCGGGAAAACGGAGGGUGCAAGCGUUAUCCGGAUUUAUUGGGUUUAAAGGGUCCGUAGGCGGACUUAUAAGUCAGUGGUGAAAGCCUGUCGCUUAACGAUAGAACUGCCAUUGAUACUGUAAGUCUUGAGUAUAUUUGAGGUAGCUGGAAUAAGUAGUGUAGCGGUGAAAUGCAUAGAUAUUACUUAGAACACCAAUUGCGAAGGCAGGUUACCAAGAUAUAACUGACGCUGAGGGACGAAAGCGUGGGUAGCGAACAGGAUUAGAUACCCCUGUAGUCCUGUCUCUUAUACA